rnacentral:rRNA from 1 species
UACAGGUUAAGUUAAAAAGGGCGCAUGGUGGAUGCCUUGGCACUAGAAGCCGAUGAAGGACGGGACUAACACCGAUAUGCUUCGGGGAGCUGUACGUAAGCUUUGAUCCGGAGAUUUCCGAAUGGGGAAACCCAGCAGUUUUAAUCGACUGUUACUAUAUAGUGAAUUCAUAGCUGUAUAGAGGUAGACGUGGGGAACUGAAACAUCUCAGUACCCACAGGAGC